rnacentral:rRNA from 1 species
UGGGAGAUAUUGGACAAUGGGCGCAAGCCUGAUCCAGCAAUGCCGCGUGGGUGAAGAAGGUCUUCGGAUUGUAAAGCCCUUUCGACGGGGAGCGAUGAUGACGGUACCCGUACGAAGAAGCCCCGGCCUAACAUUCGUGCCAGCAGCCGCGGUAAUACGAAGGGGCGUAGCGUUGCUCGGAAUGACUGGGCGUAAAGGGCGCGUAGGCGGCUUGCACAGUCAGGCGUGAAAUUCCUGGGCUCAACCUGGGGACUGCGCUUGAGACGUGUGGGCUUGAGUGGGGAAGAGGGUCGUGGAAUUCCCAGUGUAGAGGUGAAAUUCGUAGAUAUUGGGAAGAACACCGGUGGCGAAGGCGGCGACCUGGUCCUUGACUGACGCUGAGGCGCGAAAGCGUGGGGAGCAAACA